rnacentral:lncRNA from 1 species
GUGAUUACAUAAUUUAUCAUCCAAGCUGGUACACAUUUGAAUGUGAAAGAGACACUAGUAAUAAUCAUGUCAGUAAACUAGGGAAAAGGGAGAGCUUUGCCAGGCAAACUGUGAUAAAGGGUUCCCGUAGGUAAAAUAAAUUUUAUCUAUCAAGAACCAUAAAGAUAAUCUAAAAAGAAGUUCGUUCUUUUGUUUUAAGCUUUUAAGGGAAUUUAGUUAGUUAUCAAGUGUUCUGAACUAAGUUAAAGAAAGAAAUCACCACAUAAUUUGGAAAGAAACCACCUAUAGACAUUAUACAAAGCAUUUUCCUUUCUUUUGAUAUUUUCUAAAGGUCAAAAGUUUGGAAUCCUACAAUUAUUUUGCAUUUGAAAAUGAUGAAUCAAAAAAGAAAUCAGAAUCCACCAAAAUAAUGGAAUGUCUUUCUCAAGGACCCUGGAGCCAUCCAUUCCUUUGAAAUGUCCUCGUUAAGAAAGACAGGAACCCCUUCUCCUCCGUUCUAUGCGAGUAUAGGAACUUUGCAUUGGCUAGCAAUAAGUGGUACAAUACUCUCUCAAGAUGCUUUGCAGUAGCAGCGAGCCACAGCUCCUAGUCAGCCAGAUCAUCAGAAGAGGAAACACUGAAUACUUGGCAUCUUCCUAAAGAACACUAUGCCUGCUAAACCAUAGGCAAGUGUCACAUUCCUCAGCACCGUCUACUUGCUAUUCUCAACCCUCAUCAGAAGAGAGAGAAACUGGGUACUCAUUCUCUGUUGCAACCCCAUCAUCCAGCAAUUAACUUUAGUUCAAGUCUUCAAGCAUUCGUCAGACCUACGGUGCUUUCUGCUAUGUGUGUUAAUGGCACACAAGAGAUGACAUUAAUAGAUGAAAGUGAGGCUACUCUUGCCACAUUAUCAGAAAUUUUGAACAGCACUGACUUACAAUGGGGAAGGUGGAGUUUUGCUCUUGUUUCCCAGGCUGGAGUGCAAUGGUGCAAUCUCAGCUCACGGUAACCUCCGCCUCCUGGAUUCAAGUGAUUCUCCUGCCUCAGCCUCCUGAGUAGCUGGAAUUACAGACAUGUGCCAUCACGCCCACCUAAUUUUGUGUUUUUUGUAGAGACAGGGUUUCUCCAUGUUGGUCAGGCUGGUCUCAAACUGCCGACCUCAGACGAUCCACUUGCCUUGGCCUCCCAAAGCACUCGGAUUAUAGGCAUGAGUCACCGCGCCCAUCCCACACUGAAUUUCAAUGAGUAAGGCUUUAUGUAUAACACAGUUUUGCUUUUCAAAAGUAAACAAACAAUUUGAUAGCUUUUCUUUUUUUUUAAUUUCAUUAGUUGAAAUAAUAGGUUGAAUUUGGUUUUCUGAGUCUUCUACUUGUAUUAUAACUAAAAUAAUGCAAAUUCUCAUUGAUAAAAAGGAUACAAUUUUUUUUAAUCUCUCAAAAAUUUUGUGUUUGGAUUUUUGUUGGCAUAUAGAGGGCAUAUAUAUUUAUGGAGUACAUGAGGUGUUUUGAUACAGGCAUGCAAUGCUUAUUAAUUACAUAAUGGAAAAUGGGAUAUCCAUCCCUUCAAGCAUUUAUCCUUUGUGUUAACAAAAAUACUAUAAUUGGAUUGUUUGUAUUUUAAAAUGUAUAAUUAAAUUAUUACUGACUACAGUCACUCUGUUGUGCUAUAAAAUACUAGGCAUUAUUGUUUUUAACUAUGUUUUGUACUCAAUAACCACUCUUACACCUCUCUCUCCCCACACUGCCCUGUUUCCCUUCCCAGCCUCUGGUUACCAUCUUUCUACUCUCUAACUCCAUGAAUUCAGUUGUUUUGAUUUUUAGAUUCCACAAAUAAAUAAGAACAUGCA